rnacentral:rRNA from 1 species
AUUGAACGCUGGCGGCAUGCCUUACACAUGCAAGUCGAACGGUAACGCGGGGCAACCUGGCGACGAGUGGCGAACGGGUGAGUAAUGCAUCGGAACGUGCCCAGUUGUGGGGGAUAACUGCUCGAAAGAGCAGCUAAUACCGCAUACGACCUGAGGGUGAAAGCGGGGGAUCGCAAGACCUCGCGCAAUUGGAGCGGCCGAUGUCGGAUUAGCUAGUAGGUGGGGUAAAGGCCCACCAAGGCGACGAUCCGUAGCUGGUCUGAGAGGACGACCAGCCACACUGGGACUGAGACACAGCCCAGACUCCUACGGGAGGCAGCAGUGGGGAAUUUUGGACAAUGGACGCAAGUCUGAUCCAGCCAUGCCGCGUGCGGGAAGAAGGCCUUCGGGUUGUAAACCGCUUUUGUCAGGGAAGAAAUCUUCUGGGUUAAUACCUCGGGAGGAUGACGGUACCUGAAGAAUAAGCACCGGCUAACUACGUGCCAGCAGCCGCGGUAACAC